UACGGGGGGUGCAAGCGUUGUCCGGAUUUAUUGGGUUUAAAGGGUGCGUAGGCGGCCGGAUAAGUCAGGGGUGAAAGCCGAUGGCUCAACCAUCGAGGUGCCUUUGAUACUGUCCGGCUUGAGUACGGAUGAGGUAGGCGGAAUGUAUGGUGUAGCGGUGAAAUGCAUAGAUACCAUACAGAACACCGAUUGCGAAGGCAGCUUACUGGGCCGUAACUGACGCUGAGGCACGAAAGCGUGGGGAGCAAACAGG
rnacentral:rRNA from 1 species